GCAUCGUGAUCCCAGCUGCCCCUGUAUAUCUUCAAGCCCGGGUGCAGGUACUUGUCAAAGGCAUCACGGCUGGUGCUGCUGUAUGUUUUAGGGAAAGCCACCCUCCUCUCCUGUCAAACUUCCUUGACAGCCCCGACACCUGACGCACAGGGCGGUGUGGGGAGAAGCUUUCGCACAGUGACCGGGAGCUCCAUCUUGCAGAUUUGCUUCCCCUCCCGUUACUUUAUGAAAAUGGAUUGUCAGAGCAGCUGGUGAGACAGAAGUGUCUGCCUGCAUCUCAGUGUGGCUGGUACUGUGAUCCACCACCAGUACACGCUGAACCAGGCUCCAAAUGGGGAGGGGGAAGGGGGCAGUUUCAUUUACUGCCAAAACCCUUAAGCAGUUGCUUGUUUUGUCUCUCUGUCUGAGCAGAUUUUUCUUCUUACUCCACCUGCAAGAUUUUAACUUUUGUUUUCAGGCUGCCUUUUUUUUUUUUUCCUCCACUCUGCUUUCUCACACAGGGUGGAGGGAGACAUGUGAGGGACGCACUUGUGGGGUGUUUGUGUUUUCAUUUAUUUAUUUAUUUUGGGUACAGAAAAUGCCUGCCAAGGGGGAGCCUGCCAUUGCUGAGCUGAACAGGAGGGCGAAGGGUUUUGCUGCCUCAGGAGGUUCUCAGUACUUGGAGGCUGAUUGGAAACAUCAUGUGUGACAAUGCACAAAAAAGACUCUCAUCACAAUGCCAAAUUUCAGAGUCCCACCCCAGUACCUCCAGAAGAGCUAAGAACACUGCUGAGGAGCUUCUAAUGCCUGCUAUAAUUUUAGCAAUCACCUCCUACCCUCUGCUGUGCAGGAGAAGAGGACCAGCUUUGGAAAACCUGUCUUGCCUCUUCCAAGAGGCUGAGCAGAAAGAGGACAUUUUUCCAGGUUUGGCAAUAGAUAACUAUGCUAACAGCUCACACAGAUGGAGGAGGACAUACCAGCCUUUUACCACAAGAUAUAUCCCUCUUCAUGAUGUUGACUUCUAUGGCUAUCCCAGUAGGGUAGCUCAUCCCUUCUCAUGUUGUUCAUUCAUAGAUUAAUUUCAAGAUAUUUCAUCAAGAUAUUUUCAUCUAACAGAGAACCUCUGGUAAAAAUACUUAGACCACAAAGAAAUGUCUUUCUAAAGUGAAUUGUUCUAUGUUAUAUGAAUUCAUAUCUAUACCAGUUAAUUUUAGGUUAGAAAUACCAAGUAUCCUAUUUCAGUGUUUCCCUUAUUUGCUUCACUAUUCAUGCUCUCUACAAGAGUGUAAGGGUAAAAGUGAAGAUGCAGUGGGAAGGAGAGGAGGGAUACUGCAAGCAAGGGAUCAACCACUCACAUGCACCGUCCCACUCUUCACUGCUACACAUAUCUGUAGUUGUACCUGACAGACCUUCCAGUCGCACAACACACAUCAUCCAACAGCCAACUUUACAGGCUUCACCUGCAAAACUGCAUCCCAAGCAAAGCCUAUUGCAAACAAAGACUCUAGGAGUUGGGUUCUACUAAGACAUCCUUGAUUAUUCCCAAAGGUGCACCAAGUCACACAAAACCCAAAUCAGUAGACAACUCAGGAAUCUGGUUUUAAAAGCAUCAUCAUGAAUGUUGUGACAAGUCAGCGUAGGUGCAACCUCUAUGUGAAUAAUCAUGUUUUCCAGAAACACUACAAUGGUUUGCUGCAGAUUCCUUGGGCCAGGUUAUUAGCCAGCAUUAAGAGAUUACUCUGGAGUUACACCCAGAUAGUCUGGCCUCACAAGACAGCACAAGCAAGUCACAAAUAUAAAGUGACUAACCAGUGGUUCAUAGUCUGCGACAUCUAUGUCCUUUACUGUGUGCAUAUACAAGAACAGUACAUUCUAGCCAGGAAUUUCAAUAUGCUUUUCAAAUCAAUUAUCUUUACAAAAUUUCUCUGAAGGAAAUCAAACUUACAUAAUAAGAAAGUCAAAGUCAGAGAGAAAGGAGUGUACCUAGGGUCAGAGCACUGGUGUGCCAGAGCACUCAGUCAGUGCCGGAGUGAUAUAGGAAUCCACAGCCUAUGCAUUAAGCUGUAUUCCCUCAUCACAGAUAAUGUAAAAAUAAAUAAAUAAAUAUAUAAAUUACUUCUUCA
rnacentral:lncRNA from 1 species